GACGAACGCUGGCGGCGUGCUUAACACAUGCAAGUCGAACGGUGAAAGGGGAGCUUGCUCCGCUGGAUCAGUGGCGAACGGGUGAGUAACACGUGGGCAACCUGCCCCUCACUUCGGGAUAACUCCGGGAAACCGGGGCUAAUACCGGAUAUGACCUCCUUGGGCAUCCUUGGAGGUGGAAAGUUUUUCGGUGAGGGAUGGGCCCGCGGCCUAUCAGCUUGUUGGGGAGGUAGUGGCUCACCAAGGCGACGACGGGUAGCCGGCCUGAGAGGGCGACCGGCCACACUGGGACUGAGACACGGCCCAGACUCCUACGGGAGGCAGCAGUGGGGAAUAUUGCGCAAUGGGCGAAAGCCUGACGCAGCAACGCCGCGUGCGGGAUGACGGCCUUCGGGUUGUAAACCGCUUUCAGCAGGGAAGAAGCCGCAAGGUGACGGUACCUGCAGAAGAAGCACCGGCUAACUACGUGCCAGCCGCCGCAGUAA
rnacentral:rRNA from 1 species